rnacentral:rRNA from 1 species
UCAAGUAAUUAAGUGCAUGUGGUGGAUGCCUUGGCAGUCAGAGGCGAUGAAAGACGUGAUAGCCUGCGAAAAGCUCCGGGGAGGCGGCAAAUAUCCUUUGAUCCGGAGAUGUCUGAAUGGGGGAACCCACCUACUUUAAGGUAGGUAUUGCAACAUGAAUACAUAGUGUUGCAAGGCGAACGAGGGGAAGUGAAACAUCUCAGUACCCUUAGGAAAAGAAAUCAAUUGAGAUUCCCUCAGUAGCGGCGAGCGAACGGGGAUCAGCCCAUUAAGUUAUGUGUGUUUUAGUGGAACGCUCUGGGAAGUGCGAACGUAGAGGGUGAUAUUCCCGUACACGAAAGGGCACACAUAAUGAUGACGAGUAGGGCGAGGCACGUGAAACCUUGUCUGAAUAUGGGGGGACCAUCCUCCAAGGCUAAAUACUCCUGACUGACCGAUAGUGAACCAGUACCGUGAGGGAAAGGCGAAAAGAACCCCUGUGAGGGGAGUGAAAUAGAUCCUGAAACCGCAUGCAUACAAGCAGUGGGAGCACCUUCGUGGUGUGACUGCGUACCUUUUGUAUAAUGGGUCAGCGACUUAUAUUCAGUAGCGAGGUUAACCGUAUAGGGGAGCCGUAGAGAAAUCGAGUCUUAAUAGGGCGUUUAGUUGCUGGGUAUAGACCCGAAACCAGGCGAUCUAUCCAUGAGCAGGUUGAAGGUUGGGUAACACUAACUGGAGGACCGAACCCACUGUCGUUGAAAAGCCAGGGGAUGACUUGUGGAUAGGGGUGAAAGGCUAAUCAAGCCUGGUGAUAGCUGGUUCUCCCCGAAAGCUAUUUAGGUAGCGCCUCGGACGAAUACCAUAGGGGGUAGAGCACUGUUUCGGCUAGGGGGUCAUCCCGACUUACCAAACCGAUGCAAACUCCGAAUACCUAUGAGUACUAUCCGGGAGACAGACUGCGGGUGCUAACGUCCGUAGUCAAGAGGAAAACAAUCCAGACCGCCAGCUAAGGCCCCAAAAUCAUAGUUAAGUGGGAAACGAUGUGGGAAGGCAUAGACAGCUAGGAGGUUGGCUUAGAAGCAGCCACCCUUUAAAGAAAGCGUAAUAGCUCACUAGUCGAGUCGGCCUGCGCGGAAGAUGUAACGGGGCUAAAACUAUGUGCCGAAGCUGCGGAUGUAUACUUUGUAUACGUGGUAGGGGAGCGUUCUGUAAGCCGAUGAAGGUGUGUUGAGAAGCAUGCUGGAGGUAUCAGAAGUGCGAAUGCUGACGUGAGUAACGACAAAACGGGUGAAAAACCCGUUCGCCGAAAGACCAAGGGUUCCAGUCCAACGUUAAUCGGGGCUGGGUGAGUCGACCCCUAAGGCGAGGCCGAAAGGCGUAGUCGAUGGGAAAAUGGUUAAUAUUCCAUUACUUCUGUGUAAUGCGAUGAGAGGACGGAGAAGGCUAAAUCAGCCUGGCGUUGGUUGUCCAGGUGAAAGGAUGUAGGCAUGUAUCUUAGGCAAAUCCGGGGUACUCUAUGCUGAGAUCUGAUAGCAAGCUGUACUUGUACAGCGAAGUGGUUGAUGCCAUGCUUCCAGGAAAAGUCUCUAAGCUUCAGUUACACAGGAAUCGUACCCGAAACCGACACAGGUGGUCAGGUCGAGUAGACCAAGGCGCUUGAGAGAACUCUGCUGAAGGAACUAGGCAAAAUGGUACCGUAACUUCGGGAGAAGGUACGCUGUUGUUGGUGAUGGAACUCGCUUCCUGAGCUGACGACAGCCGCAGAAACCAGGCCGCUGCAACUGUUUAUUAAAAACAUAGCACUCUGCAAACACGAAAGUGGACGUAUAGGGUGUGAUGCCUGCCCGGUGCUGGAAGGUUAAUUGAUGGGGUUAGCGUAAGCGAAGCUCUUGAUCGAAGCCCCAGUAAACGGCGGCCGUAACUAUAACGGUCCUAAGGUAGCGAAAUUCCUUGUCGGGUAAGUUCCGACCUGCACGAAUGGCAUAAUGAUGGCGGCGCUGUCUCCAGCAGAGGCUCAGUGAAAUCGAAAUCGCUGUGAAGAUGCAGUGUACCCGCGGCUAGACGGAAAGACCCCGUGAACCUUUACUGCAGCUUGACACUGAACUUUGACCUUACUUGUGUAGGAUAGGUGGGAGGCUUUGAAGCUGGAACGCUAGUUCCAGUGGAGCCGUACUUGAAAUACCACCCUGGUAAUGUUGAGGUUCUAACUCUGUCCCGUGAUCCGGGACGAGGACCGUGUCUGGUGGGUAGUUUGACUGGGGCGGUCUCCUCCUAAAGAGUAACGGAGGAGUACGAAGGUGCGCUCAGCGUGGUCGGAAAUCACGCGUAGAGUAUAAAGGCAAAAGCGCGCUUAACUGCGAGACCCACAAGUCGAGCAGGUACGAAAGUAGGUCUUAGUGAUCCGGUGGUUCUGUAUGGAAGGGCCAUCGCUCAACGGAUAAAAGGUACUCUGGGGAUAACAGGCUGAUACCGCCCAAGAGUUCAUAUCGACGGCGGUGUUUGGCACCUCGAUGUCGGCUCAUCUCAUCCUGGGGCUGAAGCAGGUCCCAAGGGUAUGGCUGUUCGCCAUUUAAAGAGGUACGCGAGCUGGGUUUAGAACGUCGUGAGACAGUUCGGUCCCUAUCUACCGUGGGCGCUGGAAAUUUGAGAGGAUCUGCUCCUAGUACGAGAGGACCAGAGUGGACGAACCUCUGGUGUACCGGUUGUGACGCCAGUCGCAUCGCCGGGUAGCUAUGUUCGGAAGGGAUAACCGCUGAAAGCAUCUAAGCGGGAAGCCUACCUCAAGAUAAGAUUUCCCUAGGACUUUAUGUCCUCUAAAGAGCCGUUCGAGACUAGGACGUUGAUAGGUUGGAUGUGGAAGCAUAGUGAUAUGUGAAGCUGACCAAUACUAAUUGCUCGUGAGGCUUGACUAU